rnacentral:rRNA from 1 species
GACGAACGCUGGCGGCGUGCCUAAUACAUGCAAGUGGGACGCAAGAGAACACACUGUGCUUGCACACCGUGUUUUCUUGAGUCGCGAACGGGUGAGUAACGCGUAGGUAACCUGCCUAUUAGCGGGGGAUAACUAUUGGAAACGAUAGCUAAUACCGCAUAAUAUUAAUUAUUGCAUGAUAAUUGAUUGGAAGAUGCAAGCGCAUCACUAGUAGAUGGACCCGCGUUGUAUUAGCUAGUUGGUAAGGUAAGAGCUUACCAAGGCGACGAUACAUAGCCGACCUGAGAGGGUGAUCGGCCACACUGGGACUGAGACACGGCCCAGACUCCUACGGGAGGCAGCAGUAGGGAAUCUUCGGCAAUGGACGAAAGUCUGACCGAGCAACGCCGCGUGAGUGAAGAAGGUUUUCGGAUCGUAAAGCUCUGUUGUAAGUCAAGAACGUGUGUGAGA